CAUCCCUCCCCAAAACCCUCGAGAGAAACCCCCAAUCCCUGCAAUCCAAUCCCUCCAAAGGCGAAACCUCUCUCUCUCUCUCUCUCUCUCUCUCUCUAACCUAAUCCGCCAUGGUCGCUUCUCUCGUUCCCUCACUCCCUCUCCAAACCCACCAUUUCCCCUUCAGAAAUUGCUCUUUUCCCACUCUCAGUUUUCCGUCCUCUCUAUCCGGUUUUCCUUCUCCCUUCCCCAGUCACAAGAAGCCCCUCCGCCUCAAAACUGCGCCCUCCGCCUCAACCCAAACCGGUUCUCCAUCAACUCCCAGCGGUUCACCACCAUUGAAGGCCGCAAAGUACAAGAAACCGCUGGAGGAGAUCUACAACGUCAGGGUGGAGCGAGGGGUCUCAGAGGAGAGGCUUAAAACCCUGGGGGUCGACCGGUGGUCGACAUGGGUGACCGGCCGGUGCCGGUUGCCCUGGAACUGGGACGUGGACCAGCAGGUCUACAUUGUGAAAGGAACCGUCAAGGUGGUCCCUGGAGGGUGCGGUGAAAGGUGCAUGAGGUUCGAGCAAGGGGACCUCGUAAGGUACCCCAAAUGGUUCGAGGCCGACCUUUACUUUGAAGGCCCCUACGAGGAGCGCUACCGGUUCAGAGCUUACGGCGAGGACUAGAGAGAGAAAGAGAACGACUGCAGAGUGUUAGAAAAUAUGGGGCCUCUUCAGGUAAAGAAAAUUCAUAGUAUCUGAAAAGUGAUUUGUUCUUGAUGUUCUCUAAGAUAACAUGGUGACAUAAACACCAUUGUUGGGUGGAUUUUGUAGUACUACAAUACCCAAUGUACAUGUCAUAGAUGCAUGCCUAGGUUUAUGCAUCAAAAUACUUCUCCUUUGAAGAUAAAUGGAUCGAUUGACUCUUCAAUGUCACUUCAUUGCAUUUUCUUAAUUGGAAUUUGUAAAUUGAUUUUUAAAAAUUAGUAGGGCCUUCUUAACACGCUUUUCCAUGCAAAUAGUGUGUGAAACAUUUAACCUCUUUCAAACGUGCUUGGCUAUCCCUAACCUUGAACUUAAGCAUGAUAUAGUCCGUGUGUAUGUGUGUGUGUGUGUGUGUGUGUGAGAGAGAGAGAGAGAGAAAGAUCCUGUUCACUAUUGAAUGCAAAAAUAGAGGUAAAAUGUAUCAUUAAUUACAGUUUCUUGGUGAGCAAGCUUGAUCAUCCACCUUAAGUGCCUAUUCAAGAGACAUCUUUGAGCUUAUAUCUUCUAACAUAAGCCACAAAUACAAUCAGAUUUAGGGUGCUUAUUGUUGCUAAUAACCAGAAGAAAUAAUCAAGAUGGCCAUCAUUUAGAUUGUUAGAUAGCCAUCCCAAUUUACCUCCCCUUGAUGUUACAUUCUGCACUACUGUGAGAAUAAGUGAACUCAAAUAACUACUCAAAGAUUUGGUAAGCAAAGAGAAUGAUGUGGUCAAUGCCUUGAAAGCGUUUGGCGAUGAUCAUGAAAGAACUGCAAUUGUGCAGCAUUAUUGAACAUAUCAGAGAUUCCAACUAGGAGAUAUUGAGGUAGCUGCCAUAAUAUGCUUAGUGGCUUCUUGGCUCUUGAACACUCCAAUCUCUUCAUCUAUACUAAUGCAGCCACUACCAUGAACAAAUUUUUGUAACACGGAGAAUCCUUUGUCAUUGGUAUAAAAUUUAUUUGCGAUUCUGACAAUUAUGGCUUCAUAGAUAGGGAUUGAAAACACUAUGCAGAGACAUUCGAAUGCAUUCAACGAGGCAGGAGGGAAGGAAUAUGGACCAAUUUUGCAAUCCAUUUUUGUUCUUUGUUCAAUGAAUGUUGUGAUCAUGUGUUCCUCAAAAAAAAAUGUUGUGAUCAUCUGGGUGAAGGCUCUGCAGUAAACAAUGCUCGUCAUGAAAAUUGGAACCAUUGCUAGGUGCAACUUCAGUUCUGACACCUCUGAUCCACAAUUGUUGACUUGGGGAAUAGUUUUGAAGGCCCUUUCAUCAGGGUGUGUGUUGGGAUGCAAGGAUGGGACAAAAGAAGUUAUGAUGUGUGGUCUCUGUGUGUGUAUGUGUGUCUGUUGGGGAGGUUGGUGUGGGAACAUAAAUUUACAUGUGUGUGCUCGCAUGCAAACAUUUGUGUGUGUGUGUGUGUGUUGGAGAGGUAAGGUUGUUACAAAAAGAGUCCCACGAUCUGUAGUCACUAAAUUGACAAUAAUCGAAGUACAGCAGAGGAUGGACAAGCCAAGAAUGUAACUUAAGGGAAAACCUCACAAAGGAAAGCUCUGUAACCUCUACUUCCUCCAAAUUCUCUGCUACCCAGAAAUUUUUUUGUGUUUUGUGUGAUAUGUAUAUGCAUGUGGUGUUCUGCAUCCAUGCACCCAAGUGUGUACUGGCAAACCUUGCACGAUCAUCAUGACAACCAAUGGAAUCAAGGAUGUACCUGAAUUCUUCA